GACUACCAGGGUAUCUAAUCCCGUUCGCUCCCCUGGCUUUCGUGUCUCAGUGUCAGCACACUCCCAGCUACCUGUUUUCACCAUUGGCGUUCCAAAUGAUAUCUACGCAUUUCACCGCUCCACCAUUUGUUCCGGUAGCCCCUAAGUGGCUCAAGACGUCCAGUAUACCAAGCAGUUCCAUGGUUGAGCCAUGGGAUUUCACAAGGUACUUAGACAUCCACCUACACACGCUUUAAGCCCAGUGAUUCCGCCUAACGCUUGGCACCUCUGUCUUACCGCGGCUGCUGGCACAGAGUUAGCCGUGCCUUCCUCUGGGGUUGAUCAGAACUUUCUAACCCCUGACAGUAGUUUACACCCCGAAGGGCUUCGUCCUACACGCGGCGUCGCUCCGUCAUACUUUCGUACAUUGCGGAAGAUUCCUCACUGCAGCCACCCGUAGG
rnacentral:rRNA from 1 species